AAAAAAGGAAUCUGAGGGGCCAUGCCGCGUGAAGGAUGAAGGUCCUCUGGAUUGUAAACUUCUUUUCUCUGGGAAAAAAACCCCGAAUUCUUUUGCGGUUGACGGUACCAGAUGAAUAAGCACCGGCUAACUCCGUGCCAGCACCCGCGGUAAUACGGAGGGUGCGGGCGUUAUCCGGAUUCACUGGGUUUGAAGGGUGCGUAGGUGGGCAGGUAAGUCAAUGGUGAAAUCUCCGGCCUUAACUUGCAAACUGCAAUGGAUACUAUAUUUCUUGAAUACCGUGGAGGUCAGCGGAAUAUGUCUUGUAGCGGUGAAAUGCUUAGAUAUGACAUAGAACACCAAUUGCGAAGGCAGCUGGCUCCCCUAGAGAUUGACGCUGAUGCACGAAAGCGUGGGGAUCAAACAGGAUUAGAUACCCUGGUAGUCCACGCCCUAAACGAUGGAUACUCGACAUACGCGAUAUACAGUGUGUGUCUGAGCGAAAGCAUUAAGUAUCCCACCUGGGAAGUACGAUCGCAAGAUUGAAACUCAAAGGAAUUGACGGAUU
rnacentral:rRNA from 1 species